rnacentral:rRNA from 1 species
UACGAAGGGGGCUAGCGUUGUUCGGAAUUACUGGGCGUAAAGCGCACGUAGGCGGAUCGAUCAGUCAGGGGUGAAAUCCCAGGGCUCAACCCUGGAACUGCCUUUGAUACUGUCGAUCUGGAGUAUGGAAGAGGUGAGUGGAAUUCCGAGUGUAGAGGUGAAAUUCGUAGAUAUUGGGAGGAACACCAGUGGCGAAGGCGGCUCACUGGACCGGUACUGACGCUGAGGCGCGAAAGCGUGGGGAGCAAACGGG